ACAUGCAAGUCGAGCGAUGAAGCACCUUCGGGUGUGAAUUAGCGGCGAACGGGUGAGGAACACGUGAGAAAUCUGCCUUCAACACUGGGAUAACUCCGGAAACCGGGGCUAAUACCGGAUAUGAAAUCUGCGGGCAUCCGCGGAUUUGGGAAGUUUUCGGUUGAAGAUGGUCUCGCGGCCUAUCAGCUAGUUGGUGAGGUAAAGGCUCACCAAGGCGACGACGGGUAGCCGGCCUGGGAGGGCGACCGGCCACACUGGGACUGAGACACGGCCCAGACUCC
rnacentral:rRNA from 1 species